AAUCAACGCUGGCGGCGUGCCUAACACAUGCAAGUCGAGCGGGAAAGGGGGCUUCGGUCCCUGAGUAUAGCGGCGGACGGGUGAGUAACACGUGGGUAAUUUGCCCUUGGGUGUGGAAUAACUCAGGGAAACUUGAGCUAAUACCGCAUGACAUCCCCUUCUCACAGGAGUUGGGGAUCAAAGCCGGGGACCCUUCGGGGCCUGGCGCCUGAGGAGAAGCCCGCGCCCGAUUAGCUAGUUGGUGAGGUAAUGGCUCACCAAGGCUUCGAUCGGUAGCCGGCCUGAGAGGGCGGACGGCCACACUGGGACUGAGACACGGCCCAGACUCCUACGGGAGGCAGCAGUGGGGAAUUUUUGUCAAUGGGGGAAACCCUGAACAAGCAACGCCGCGUGGGGAUGACGGCCU
rnacentral:rRNA from 1 species